rnacentral:rRNA from 1 species
UACGUAGGGGGCAAGCGUUGUCCGGAAUUAUUGGGCGUAAAGAGCGUGUAGGCGGUCCGGUAAGUCAGCUGUGAAAGUCAAGGGCUCAACCCUCGAAUGCCGGUGGAUACUGUCGGGCUAGAGUGCGGAAGAGGCGAGUGGAAUUCCUGGUGUAGCGGUGAAAUGCGCAGAUAUCAGGAGGAACACCGAUUGCGAAGGCAGCUCGCUGGGACGUAACUGACGCUGGAGGAGCGAAAGCGUGGGGAGCGAACAGG